CUCUGCUGCACCCGUCACGGCCAAAUCCGUGAUCGGGUUUGACAGCCUGGAAC
rnacentral:ncRNA from 1 species